GCUUUAAAGAAUAGCUAAGUCGGUAGAAUGUGAGACUCUUAAUCUCAGGGUCAGUGGGGUUUGAGCCCCACUUUGGGUG